AGGAUGAACGCUGGCGGCGUGCCUAACACAUGCAAGUCGAACGUCCUGUCUCGCAAGAGGCAGGGAGUGGCGGACGGGUGAGUACCACGUGGGUCAUCUACCGUGAGGUGAGGAAUACCGGCGAGAAAUCGCCGACAAGACCGCAUAGGCUCGAUGCAAGUCGAGCAAAGCUCUUUCGAGAGAGGGAGCGCCACACGAGGAGCCUGCGCCCGAUUAGCUAGCUGGUGGAGUAACGGUUCACCAGGGCGACGAUCGGUAGCUGGUCUGAGAGGACGAUCAGCCACACUGGGAUUGAGAACGGCCCAGACUCCUACGGGGGCAGCAGUGAGGAAUUUUCGUCAAUGGGGGCAACCCUGAACGAGCAACGCCGCGUGCAGGAAGAAGGUUUUCGGAUCGUAAACUGCUUUUCUCGGGAAGAGAACGGACGGUACCCGAGGAAUCAGCCCGGCUAACUACGCGCCAGCAGCCGCGGU
rnacentral:rRNA from 1 species